rnacentral:rRNA from 1 species
UAGCGGCGGACGGGUGAGUAACGCGUGGGAAACCUACCUUGUAGAAGGGGAUAGCCUCGGGAAACCGUGAUUAAUACCCUAUAAUACUUCAGCAUCGCAUGGUACUGAAGUCAAAGCGAUCAAGCGCUACAAGAUGGUCCCGCGUCCCAUUAGCUAGUUGGUGAGAUAACAGCUCACCAAGGCAACGAUGGGUAGCCGACCUGAGAGGGUGAUCGGCCACACUGGGACUGAGACACGGCCCAGACUCCUACGGGAGGCAGCAGUGGGGAAUAUUGCGCAAUGGGGGGAACCCUGACGCAGCAACGCCGCGUGAGCGAAGAAGGCCUUCGGGUCGUAAAGCUCUGUCUAGAGGGAUGAAUAAUGACAGUACCUCUGGAGGAAGCCCCGGCUAACUACGUGCCAGCAGCCGCGGUAAUACGUAGGGGGCAAGCGUUGUCCGGAUUUACUGGGCGUAAAGGGCGCGUAGGCGGUAGCUUAAGUCAGAUGUGAAAGUCCAGGGCUCAACC